CGGCUACUAGGCGACCCGUCCGCACCGGCCGCCUGCGUCGCGGCGGCCGGUGGGGCGUCGGUGGGCCUGCUCAGGUCCGGACGUAGUCGCC
rnacentral:tRNA from 1 species